UACAGAGGGUGCGAGCGUUAAUCGGAAUUACUGGGCGUAAAGCGCGCGUAGGCGGCCUGCUAAGUCGAACGUGAAAUCCCCGGGCUCAACCCGGGAACUGCGUCCGAUACUGGUGGGCUUGAAUCCGGGAGAGGGAUGUGGAAUUCCAGGUGUAGCGGUGAAAUGCGUAGAUAUCUGGAGGAACACCGGUGGCGAAGGCGGCAUCCUGGACCGGUAUUGACGCUGAGGCGCGAAAGCUAGGGGAGCAAACAGG
rnacentral:rRNA from 1 species